rnacentral:lncRNA from 1 species
GGUAAAGACCAAGGUGAGAUGGAUGGAGAAUUCAUGCUUGUAGAAUGGAUAGCAUGAUAACACGAGUUGAGAGUUAAUGGUAACUAGAAUUAAUUGAGCAGUCACCGUGUGCUGAUCCUUUUCAGAUUCUUCUUUCAUUUUAAUCCACACAACAAUUUGGAGAUGCAUAUGUUAUUACCUCCCUUUUUUUAGAUGAAGAAUGUGAGACACAAGAAAUAUUGACUUCCCUGAAUCCAUAUCUGGUACCAGGUGCAGAUAAUUCAGGGAUGGAUGAGACAAGAUCCUCUCAAAGGUUCAGUCAAGUGGCAGAGACAGACAACGUAAACACAGGAUCUUGGCACAACAACAGCUCUCAAGUGCUGCAGCAGAAUGGAUGAAUGAAACAAUUCUUCAUGGUUGGUGUACAAGCAAAAAGAAGAAAAUCAUGUCAAGUUCUUUAUCUGAGUCAAAUAUUCAUAUCCUUUGUCCAGAAAGGAGCUGGGAAGUUGAGGAUGAAGCCAUCAGCUGGUGUAAUGUCUGGGAAAGGCUUGAUCUCUGCUUCAGGAUGAUGCCUUGUUUCUCUGUCCUCACAUGGAACAAAGUAGGAGGACAAAGAAGUUGUGUCCCCCAUUGGAAAAGGGACAAGAAGACCAAAAAAGACUAAGAGAUCCCAUUUAAUGUCUUUUAUAAGAGCAUUAAUUCCAUGCACAAAGGCAAAGGCCUCAAGGCCUAAUCAUGUCCCAAGGGACCCACCUCUUAAUAUCAUCCACUUGGGGGAGCUGAAUUCCUAUAGAUGCAUUUUGGAAGAACACAGCCAUGCCAACUCCAGUACCUAACAACAUACAAGAAUGAGGAGAGUGGUUCUAAUUUCUGAUUUCCACUAGUUGAUAUAAAUGUGAAGGAUUCCUUAACUAUGAGAAAGGAGAGAAAUAGAUUCAGAAGGAUAAAGCCCAUGUUAAAAACAUUUACUUGCAUGUGUGUCAGUAAUGUAUGCUUAUAUUUCUACUUCUUGCAGGUUGGCCUGUAUAUUUCAUGUAUGUACUCACAUAUUUAUUCAUUGAACAAACUUUUAAUAAAUAUCAAC